rnacentral:rRNA from 1 species
GAUGAACGCUGGCGGCGUGCCUAAUACAUGCAAGUCGAGCGAACAGACGAGGAGCUUGCUCCUCUGACGUUAGCGGCGGACGGGUGAGUAACACGUGGAUAACCUACCUAUAAGACUGGGAUAACUUCGGGAAACCGGCGCUAAUACCGGAUAAUAUAUUGAACCGCAUGGUUCAAUAGUGAAAGACGGUUUUGCUGUCACUUAUAGAUGGAUCCGCGCCGCAUUAGCUAGUUGGUAAGGUAACGGCUUACCAAGGCAACGAUGCGUAGCCGACCUGAGAGGGGGAUCGGCCACACUGGAACUGAGACACGGUCCAGACUCCUACGAGAGGCAGCAGUAGGGAAUCUUCCGCAAAGGGCGAGAGCCUGACGGAGCAACGCCGCGUGAGUGAUGAAGGUCUUCGGAUCGUGAAACUCUGUUAUUAGGGAAGAACAAAUGUGUAAGUAACUAUGCACGUCUUGACGGUACCUAAUCAGAAAGCCACGGCUAACUACGUG